GAUGAACGCUGGCGGCGUGCCUAAUACAUGCAAGUCGAGCGAACGGACGCGUAGGUUGCUUUUCUGAUGUUAGCGGCGGACGGGAGAGUACCGCGUGGAUACCCUCCCUAUAAGACUGGGAUCGCUUCGUUAACCCGGACCUCAUACCGUCUAAUAUUUUGAACCGCAUGGUGCAAAAGUGAAAGACGGUCUUGCUGCCGCUUAUAGAUGGAGCCGCGGCAGAUUAGCUAGUUGGUAAGGUAAAGGCUUACCAAGGCGACGAUGCGUAGCCGGUCUGAGAGGAUGAUCAGCCACACUGGAACUGAGACACGGCCCAGACUCCUACGGGAGGCAGCAGUGGGGAAUCUUGCGCAAUGGGCGAAAGCCUGACGGAGCCACGCCGCGUGAGUGAUGAAGGUCUUCGGGUUGUAAAAUGCUGUUAUUAGGGAAGAAAAGAUGUGUAAGAAACCGGGAGGAUCAUGACGGUACCGAAUGAGAAAGCCACGGCUAACUACGUG
rnacentral:rRNA from 1 species